rnacentral:pre_miRNA from 1 species
CAUAUACUCCCUCCGUUUGGAAUUACUUGUCGCAGAAAUGGAUGUAUCUAGACGUAUUUUAGUUCUAGAUAUAUCCAUUUCCGAGACAAGUAAUUCCGAACGGAGGGAGUAGGUG